ACUGGGACUGAGACACGGCCCAGACUCCUACGGGAGGCAGCAGUAGGGAAUCUUCGGCAAUGGGGGCAACCCUGACCGAGCAACGCCGCGUGAGUGAAGAAGGUUUUCGGAUCGUAAAGCUCUGUUGUAAGUCAAGAACGAGUGUGAGAGUGGAAAGUUCACACUGUGACGGUAGCUUACCAGAAAGGGACGGCUAACUACGUGCCAGCAGCCGCGGUAAUACGUAGGUCCCGAGCGUUGUCCGGAUUUAUUGGGCGUAAAGCGAGCGCAGGCGGUUUGAUAAGUCUGAAGUUAAAGGCUGUGGCUCAACCAUAGUUCGCUUUGGAAACUGUCAAACUUGAGUGCAGAAGGGGAGAGUGGAAUUCCAUGUGUAGCGGUGAAAUGCGUAGAUAUAUGGAGGAACACCGGUGGCGAAAGCGGCUCUCUGGUCUGUAACUGACGCUGAGGCUCGAAAGCGUGGGGAGCGAACAGGAUUAGAUACCCUGGUAGUCCACGCCGUAAACGGUGGAUGCUGGAUGUGGGGCCCGUUCCACGGGUUCCGUGUCGGAGCUAACGCGUUAAGCAUCCCGCCUGGGGAGUACGGCCGCAAGGCUAAAACUCAAAGAAAUUGACGGGGGCCCGCACAAGCGGCGGAGCAUGCGGAUUAAUUCGAUGCAACGCGAAGAACCUUACCUGGGCUUGACAUGUUCCCGACAGCCGUAGAGAUAUGGCCUCCCUUCGGGGCGGGUUCACAGGUGGUGCAUGGUCGUCGUCAGCUCGUGUCGUGAGAUGUUGGGUUAAGUCCCGCAACGAGCGCAACCCUCGCCCUGUGUUGCCAGCACGUCAUGGUGGGAACUCACGGGGGACCGCCGGGGUCAACUCGGAGGAAGGUGGGGAUGACGUCAGAUCAUCAUGCCCCUUACGUCCAGGGCUUCACGCAUGCUACAAUGGCCGGUACAACGGGAUGCGACACGGCGACGUGGAGCGGAUCCCUGAAAACCGGUCUCAGUUCGGAUUGGAGUCUGCAACCCGACUCCAUGAAGGCGGAGUCGCUAGUAAUCGCGGAUCAGCAACGCCGCGGUGAAUGCGUUCCCGGGCCUUGUACACACCGCCCGUCAAGUCAUGAAAGUGGGUAGCACCCGAAGCCGGUGGCCUAACCCUUUGUGGAUGGAGCCGUCUAAGGUGAGACUCGUGAUUGGGACUAAGUCGUAACAAGGUAGCCGUACCGGAAGGUGCGGCUG
rnacentral:rRNA from 1 species